rnacentral:ncRNA from 1 species
CCCGAGGGGCGCUGCAGCGGUUAAAUCCGUCAGGCUUGGGAUCAGACAGAUCCUUUUUCCGGAUCAACGGCGCUCAUUCA